rnacentral:tRNA from 8 species
GCAGUGGUAUCGAAGUGGUCAUAACGAGCACGACUGGAAAUCGUGUUGUCGUCAAAAGCGGCACGAGGGUUCAAAUCCCUCCCACUGCGCCA